AUGACAAGCACUUUGAAAAGAGGGUGAAAAGAACCUGAAACCGUUACGGGGGAAGCGGAUUGCGUUGGAAUGAUGGGCAUUUGUGUGUUCAGCCUUGAACUAUGUUCUAGGUGCAUUGAUAUGAAUGCUUAUCCGUCGUGGGUUUUUGGUGACCGAUUUUGGGUUGCUAGAGGCUGAGGGCUCCCCUUUUUGGGUAAGAGGACGGCGGAUUGACGACGCGAUACGACCCGUCUUGAAACACGGACCAAGGAGUCUAGCGCGGGUGCGAGUCGGAGGGUUUUAAAACCUGUGGGCGAAGUGAAAGCGAGUUUUGAUUCUAAAACUAGCAGUUUGAGGCGGCAUAGAAUCGUUGAUUCUAGGUCCGACCUGGAGCAGUUGCGCUGGGACCCGAAAGAUGGUGAACUAUGCCGGAGUAGGGCAAAGCCAGAAGAAAUUCUGGUGGAGGCUCGUAGCGGUGCUGACGUGCAAAUCGCUCGUCAAACUUGGGUAUAGGGGCGAAAGACUAAUCGAACCAUCUAGUAGCUGGUUCCCUCCGAAGUUUCUCUCAGGAUAGCGGGCCGACACGCGUUGUUUUGUGC
rnacentral:rRNA from 1 species